rnacentral:rRNA from 1 species
CUUGCUCUGCCGGCGACCGGCGCACGGGUGAGUAACACGUAUGCAACCUGCCCUCCGCAGGGGGAUAACCCGGAGAAAUCCGGACUAAUACCGCGUGGUACACUUGUGGGGCAUCCCACGGGUGUUAAAAGGAAGUGAUUCCGGCGGAGGAUGGGCAUGCGGCGCAUUAGCUGGUUGGCGGGGUAACGGCCCACCAAGGCGACGAUGCGUAGGGGUUCUGAGAGGAAGGUCCCCCACACUGGUACUGAGACACGGACCAGACUCCUACGGGAGGCAGCAGUGAGGAAUAUUGGUCAAUGGGCGGGAGCCUGAACCAGCCAAGUCGCGUGAGGGAAGACGGUCCUAUGGAUUGUAAACCUCUUUAGGCGGGGAGCAAUGCCGGGCACGCGUGCCCGGAGGGAGAGUACCCGCAGAAUAAGCAUCGGCUAACUCCGUGCCAGCAGCCGCGGUAAUACGGAGGAUGCGAGCGUUAUCCGGAUUUAUUGGGUUUAAAGGGUGCGUAGGCGGAUUUUUAAGUCAGCGGUAAAAUGUCCGGGCUCAACCCGGGCCGGCCGUUGAAACUGGGGAUCUUGAGUGGGCGAGAAGUAUGCGGAAUGCGUGGUGUAGCGGUGAAAUGCAUAGAUAUCACGCAGAACUCCGAUUGCGAAGGCAGCAUACCGGCGCCCGACUGACGCUGAGGCACGAAAGCGUGGGGAUCGAACAGGAUUAGAUACCCUGGUAGUCCACGCAGUANACGAUGAAUGCUAGUUGUCCGGUUCUUUGGGACUGGGUGACACAGCGNAAGCGUUA